GUUAUUUUGGCAGAAUAGUGCAGUGGAUUUAGAAUCUUAAUAUGUAAUUUAUAUUACAAAUAAUAC
rnacentral:tRNA from 1 species